rnacentral:rRNA from 1 species
AUUGAACGCUGGCGGCAUGCUUUACACAUGCAAGUCGAACGGUAGAGGGGGCAACCCCUUGAGAGUGGCGAACGGGUGAGUAAUGCAUCGGAACGUGCCCAGUCGUGGGGGAUAACGCAGCGAAAGCUGUGCUAAUACCGCAUACGAUCUCUGGAUGAAAGCGGGGGACCGAAAGGCCUCGCGCGAUUGGAGCGGCCGAUGUCAGAUUAGGUAGUUGGGGGGGGAAAGGCCUACCAAGUCAACGAUAUGUAGCUGGUCUGAGAGGACGACCAGCCACACUGGGACUGAGACACGGCCCAGACUCCUACGGGAGGCAGCAGUGGGGAAUUUUGGACAAUGGGCGCAAGCCUGAUCCAGCAAUGCCGCGUGCAGGAAGAAGGCCUUCGGGUUGUAAACUGCUUUUGUACGGAACGAAACGGUCUGGGUUAAUACCCUGGGCUAAUGACGGUACCGUAAGAAUAAGCACCGGCUAACUACGUGCCAGCGGCCGCCGUAA